AAGGUAAAGAAAGGAUUCGGAAAUACAAAUCGUUUACUUUAUUUUACACACAACAGCUAUACAAUAUAUCUUACACUCUGAAGACCUCGACAACCUUUUUGCACGCACGCUUGUUCUCAACCGACUCUUCCAGAUUCUUCUAACAUCUGGCAACAGUCGUUUGUCUCCACUAAGACCUGGACACCCUCUGAUGCUUACACACACAUUCACAUGUACAGUGUAAAUGUAUUAUCUACCCAACAAUUGUAUUGAAAAUA